AGUUUUUUGAUUCGAAUUUUUUCUAGUGAGUUUUUAACUAGAAUCUCCAUUUGAUGCCACAAUAUGUAUCAACAAAAUCUUGUUACAAUAUAAGCUUGUAACAUUAGUAAUCCUGGUAAGCCCAAAAACGAGCCCAAAUAUCAUUAGGUAGGAUGAAGUAAAACAUAUUUGCACAAACUAAAGCCCGAAGCAAAGAGCAAAACAAGUCAUAAGCCAAAAACAUGGAGCGUAAUAGACCCUGUUCGUUGCAGAGACGCUGUGACAGAGACCGGCGACUAAAAAAAAAGGUUUUAUCUCUCUUUCAUCUCCCUUGUAUCUUCAAUUCAUCCUAUCGUUGCGACUCCAAAUUUCAUGAUUUCGGAGUCGCCGAAAAUAACAGCGACACCACACUAAAGCUUUAUUAUGAAUCAGCGACUGUCGCCGGUGACUUCUUCCUUGAAUUAAUGAGUCGCUCGCUUCUUUAAAAAGGUGUCGUCGGAGAGAUCGUGCGACUCUCAAAAGAACAGUCUUAAAUUG
rnacentral:lncRNA from 1 species